GUCCUGGAACUUGCUCUUUGCUCUGUACACCAGGCUGGGCUUGACCUCAGGGGUCCACCUGGCUCUUCUUCCUGAGUGCUGGAAUUAAAGGGGUGCACCUUUACCGACCAGCAACAAUCAGAAAUGUAAGACCUUCUACAACUAAAAAUCAAGUUUCAGGCCACAUUGCAUGCACCUUCUCAGCUCCCCUGUGCCUGGCCUUCUCUGAGUGGGUGCUUGGUAUGUGACACUGCACUCGACCUCAGCUUGAGGUUCCUCAUGCAGCAGCCCCUUGCAUGUCUGUGGCAGUAGGUAGCAUUUACAGCCCGUCAUCCUUCACAUCAGAAGGCUUAAUUGAUAUGACCCAUGAGCCUGGUCUUCCUCCUAAAUCAGAUACCCAACUGUCCCGUGUUCUGUCCACAUGUGUAAGAUGAGUGGGUACCCACUGUCCUGUGUACUGUACCCACCCUCCACUUAACAUAUUUCUGCAGACCUUUCUUACCAUUUGUCUUCCAAAGGCUUCUUCACCAUAUGGAUUCUCGCCACACACCAAGGCUGUGCUUAUUGGUGAAUUGGGAAUCCAAGGUUGUGGUCAUCUUUGCUUCUGCCUUCACGCUGCUGCUGUUCAGCCUUUUCACACAUCCUUAGUAUUUCUUCUUAUUUUGGUUUUCAAGAUGAGGUUUCUCUGUGUAGACUUAGCUGUCCUGGAACUCCCAUCUGUAGAUUAGGCUGGCCUCGAACUCAAAGAUCCGCCUGCCUCUGCCUCCUGAGUGCUAGGAUUAAAGAAGUGUCAUCAUACUUGGCUCCUUUUAUAUAUAUAUAUAUAUCAAAGGUUCAAAGUUACUUUAUUCUCAGACUUGGAUUUAUUUAUUUAUUCAUUCAUUCACUCUUUAAUCCUUUUUUAUAGUCCAGACUUCAUCCCCCAACUGCUCCCCGGCCCAAGAGGAUGUCCCCAUCCUCCCACCCCUACCCUCACCAGACCUUCCCACUCCGUGGGGCCUCAAGUCUCUCGAGGGUUAGGUGGAUCUUCUUGCACUAUUUAUUAUUCUUAUGUGUAUGACUGUUUUGCCUGCAUCUAUGAUUAUGCAUCACAUGCGUUCUCAUACCCUUGGAAGUUAAGAGAAGGUGUUGGGUCCCCUGGAACCAGAGUUAUAGACAAUGGUAACCAUCCACGUGGGUGCAGGGAACAGAACCUAGGUCCUCUACCAGAACAAGUGCUCUUAACAGCUGAGCUGUUUCUCAUCUAGUGCCCUGUGUGUGAACAAAACAUAACAGCCUUUUCUGUCCACUUGAGAGAUUGUCUUGGUGUCAGUGAAGCACCCUGAUAGGCAUGAGCUCAUGUAGACCUGCACAUAAGUGUGAACUCAUUUUCUGUUCUCAUGUGGAAGUCAGAGGACAACUGCAGAAAUCUGUUCUCUCAUUCCACCUUUGGGAUCUAGACGUCAAUCUCAAGUUAUAGUCUGCAAACAAACAAAUGUAUCAAGCCAGGUGUGGUUUUGCCUUUAAUCCCAGCACUUAGGAGGCAGAAGCAGGCUGGUCUCUCAAUUAAAAGCCAGUCUGGUCUACAUAGUGAGUUCCAGGGCAGCCAGAGCUACACAGAGAAACCCUGCCGUGUCGUGGGGUUGGGGGUGGGAUGGCUCUACUUGCUAGACGAUCUCAUCAGCCUUCAGCUUGUUUUUACAUAGUGUUGGAGGUUCAGCCAAAGGCUACACAUAUGCUAGGGCAACACUUUGCCAUUGAGCUACAGCCUCUGCCCUCUAAAAAUUUUGUUUCUUUGUUGUAUGAAACCAGGUCUUACUCUGUAGCCGUGGCUGUCCUAAAACUUGCUGUAUGGACUAAACUGGUCUUGAAUUCACAUAGAUUCACUCACCUCUGCCCCUUCCUUCUCAAGUGCUGAGAUCAAAGGUGUAAGCCUGCCCUCCAAAACUC
rnacentral:lncRNA from 1 species